AUCGCUUCUCGGCCUUUUGGCUAAAUCAGUGUAGCCUGUUCUUAUCAGUUUAAUAUCUGAUAUGUCCUCUAUCAGGGGCAACCAUAUUAAAUGGAUUUUUAGCAAUGGGAGUGUGAAAAAGGGGCUUGCUCCGUUCACUCCACGCAUCGACCCGGUAUUGCAGCAUCGCUGGGAACGGUGCACCUCUU